rfam:Erinaceus europaeus unplaced genomic scaffold scaffold00343, whole genome shotgun sequence
GUGCUUGCUUCGGCCGCACAUAUGCUAAAAUUGGAACAAUACAGAAAAGAUUUGCACAGCCCCCGUGCAAAGAUGACAUACAAAUUUGUGAAACAUUUCAUAUUUUU